CCUACGGGAGGCAGCAGUGGGGAAUAUUGCACAAUGGGGGAAACCCUGAUGCCGCGACGCCGCGUGAGUGCAGAAGUAAUUCGUUAUGUAAAGCUCUAUCAGCAGGGAAGAAAAUGACGGUACCUGAGUAAGAAGCCCCGGCUAACUACGUGCCAGCAGCCGCGGUAAUAAGUAGGGGGCAAGCGUUAUCCGGAUUUACUGGGUGUAAAGGGAGCGUAGACGGCAGUGCAAGUCUGGAGUGAAAGGCGGGGGCUCAACCCCCGGACUGCUCUGGAAACUGUACGGCUGGAGUGCAGGAGAGGUAAGUGGAAUGCCUAGUGUAGCGGUGAAAUGCGUAGAUAUUAGGAGGAACACCAGUGGCGAAGGCGGCUUACUGGACUGUAACUGACGUUGAGGCUCGAAAGCGUGGGGAGCAAACAGGAUUAGAUACCCCUGUAGUC
rnacentral:rRNA from 1 species